GGAGGCUGGUUCCGCAGGCUCGGGCCCCCGCCACUCCCUCCCCGCCCCACGCCCAGGGUUGCCGAGGCGACGCGUGCGGGCGCCUGCCGGAGAAAGUCACGCGGGGCAACUUCUUAGCUAGAGUGACCGGUCGGUCGGUCUAGGGAGGAGAGGGUCGGCAUCGUGAGGUUUUGCCUUCGCGAUGUCCAGCAAAGCUGACAAAAAGCGGAAAGUGACUAGCCGGGGAAGUGCCCGCCGGCGAGCUGCCCAGUCUACUCUGGAUGCACAGGUCGAGGAGAUCACCUUGCCGGCCAGCAGCGAGGUCCAGGCGGAGCCGGAGACCGUCAAGGAGGAGCCUGAGCCAGUAUUGGAACAACCUGAAAUACAGAAAGAAGAAUUAGAGGAGCGUGAGGUAGAUGUGGUAAGUUUGGGUUGUUGUUGAAACAAGUAUUCCUCACCAGCGAUUGGUGAUUCAAAGCAUCAGUUGCAGAAUGGUGUUUGAGGAAUUCUCUUCUUCAGUCUCUCACUUGAUACCUUUUCUUUCUACCAGCAGAAACUGGUAGCCUGCUCACUGCAAAUCCAGUACACUGAGUAAAGGGCAGAGUUAUCCAUGCCCCCUACUCCUCCAGAAGAAGAGAGCUUUCAGGAGGGAACAGGACUUUUAGCAGGCCCUUCCUCGUCUCUCCAUCUUGGGUCAAAAUGUGACAAGCUUUAUCUGUCGAAUGGGUGAAAUCUGGACAUGUUGAACAAGCUGGCAGACACUGUCCUAAUUUCUAAGACAUCCUCUUUCUUCCUGUCCUUUGGUGCUCUCCUUUGGCUGAAAAGUUUACAGAAGCCACUUGAAAUACUUUCAGAAAUUGACACUCCAUGACCUGUAUACCUUUAUUUUCAAGCUGCAUCAGAGCCUGGGGACAACUUCUAACCUGGAUUAGAAGAAUAGUGACCUUGAACUUUCUAGAAAGGGAGAGCAAAAUAACAACUACUCAUUAAAGAAAAAAACUGGAAGGGAUAGAAAGCUAAAACAAAGAAAGGGAAAAUGAAGUUAUGACUAAACACAUUCAAUAUUAAUAAUUGGGUAUAUGUCCUUUCUUUCUGUAGAUUUGAGAGUUAUUUUGUUUUCUAACAAUCUUAACUAUACUAC
rnacentral:lncRNA from 1 species